GGUGGCUCAGUGGUAGAGUGCUUGCUUAAUACGCAUGAGGCCCUGGGUUCAAGUCCUCAGUACCA
rnacentral:tRNA from 1 species